UGUGGUAGCAAAAUCACUAGGAGGUUACAAUGAAUUUUGUAGGAAUGAUUUAUCAAGAGAAAAACCGUCGUUAUACUUAAGUUAGAAUUUAACUUUUAUGUGAAGAGGGGUUAAUAUUCUAAAAGGGUCAUAAGACCCUUAGAUAAUUUUCCAUCAGGUGUAAAUAAUUUAUAGAAUUUGUCUGUACUACGUUACAAAAAAAAUAAUUUGUUAUGGUGGGGAGACAAAAUGAAAUAAUUUAUAUAUACACUGUAAGGAGAGAAAUUAAGGAGUCUAGUCGUCCCUUUGGAAUAGAUCCGCCUUUACACUUAAAAGAUAAAUUCACACUUGAAUAAAACAGCAGUUUUUCUCUUGAUAGUUCAUA
rnacentral:rRNA from 1 species